CUUCCAUCUGCCCAGAGAGGAGCAUCCGGAUCAAGGUGCUGGCCAUGUCCCAGCUGGUGGAAUGCGUCCCCAACUUUUCGGAGGGGAAGAACCAGGAGGUGAUCGACGCCAUCUCUGGAGCCAUCACACAGACCCCGGGCUGCGUGCUGCUGGAUGUGGGCGCAGGCCCUUCCACCAACCGCACCGUGUACACCUUCGUGGGGCCGCCGGAGUGCGUGGUGGAGGGGGCCCUCAACGCUGCCCGGGUAGCUUCCCGACUUAUCGACAUGAGCAGGCACCAAGGAGAGCACCCCCGCAUGGGGGCCCUAGACGUCUGCCCCUUCAUCCCCGUGAGGGGCGUCAGCAUGGACGAGUGUGUGCUCUGCGCCCAGGCCUUUGGCCAGAGGCUGGCAGAGGAGCUGGACGUGCCAGGCCUGACCGCCGGGCUCUCCUGCAGUUUACCUGUACGGCGAGGCGGCCAGGAUGGACAGUCGCCGGACCCUGCCGGCCAUCCGGGCCGGGGAGUACGAGGCCCUCCCUAAGAAGCUCCAGCAGGCCGACUGGGCGCCCGACUUUGGUCCCAGCUCCUUUGUCCCCAGUUGGGGGGCCACGGCCACGGGGGCGAGGAAGUUCCUCAUUGCUUUUAACAUCAACCUGCUCGGCACAAAGGAGCAAGCCCACCGCAUCGCGCUCAACCUGCGGGAGCAGGGCCGCGGGAAGGACCAGCCAGGACGUCUGAAGAAGGUUCAGGGCAUUGGCUGGUACCUGGAUGAGAAGAACCUGGCUCAGGUGUCCACCAAUCUUCUGGACUUUGAGGUCACGGCACUGCACACGGUCUACGAGGAGACCUGCCGAGAAGCACAGGAGCUGAGCCUCCCAGUGGUGGGCUCACAGCUGGUGGGCCUGGUGCCCCUGAAGGCUCUGCUGGAUGCGGCCGCCUUCUACUGCGAGAAGGAGAGCCUCUUCAUCCUGGAGGAGGAGCAGCGGAUCAGGCUGGUGGUGAGCCGGCUGGGCCUGGACUCCCUGUGCCCCUUCAGCCCUAAGGAGCGGAUCAUCGAGUACCUGGUCCCUGAGCGCGGGCCUGAGCGAGGCCUGGGCAGCAAGUCCCUGCGCGCCUUCGUGGGGGAGGUGGGUGCCCGCUCUGCGGCCCCCGGGGGCGGCUCGGUGGCGGCGGCCGCUGCGGCCAUGGGUGCGGCGCUGGGCUCCAUGGUGGGCCUCAUGACCUACGGGCGGCGCCAAUUCCAGUCCCUGGACACGACGAUGCGGCGCCUGAUCCCGCCCUUCCGCGAGGCUUCGGCCAAGCUAACCACGCUGGUGGAUGCCGACGCCGAGGCCUUCGCCGCCUACCUGGAAGCAAUGAGGCUGCCCAAGAACACACCUGAGGAAAAGGACAGGCGCACGGCGGCCCUACAGGAGGGUCUGAGGCGGGCAGUCUCUGUGCCGCUGACGCUGGCGGAGACGGUGGCCUCGCUAUGGCCGGCGCUGCAGGAACUGGCCCGGUGUGGGAACCUGGCCUGCCGGUCAGACCUCCAGGUGGCGGCCAAAGCCCUGGAGAUGGGCGUGUUUGGCGCAUAUUUCAACGUGCUCAUCAACCUGAGGGACAUCACAGACGAGGCAUUUAAGGACCAGAUCCACCAUCGUGUUUCCAGCCUCCUGCAGGAAGCCAAGACCCAGGCUGCACUGGUGCUGGACUGCUUGGAGACCCGGCAGGAGUGACGGUGCGGAAACCCCAGGGACAGCAGGACCUUCGACGCUGGAAGGAUAGCCUCGCUUCCCAGGUGCAGCUCUCAGCAGGUCCGGACAGUUCCACAGAGCACGGUACUGGCCCCGUCCUCAGUUCCCGUCCACCCUUCAACCAGUGGCUCCUGGGAGACUUUUCCUCCCUGCCCAGCCAGCCUCCUGUCUCCAGAGAAGUUCUCCAUUAAAAAAUAAUUUAACAAAUCA
rnacentral:sRNA from 1 species